UACGUAGGGUGCGAGCGUUUGUCCGGAAUUACUGGGCGUAAAGAGCUCGUAGGUGGUUUGUCGCGUUGUUCGUGAAAACUCACAGCUUAACUGUGGGCGUGCGGGCGAUACGGGCAGACUGGAGUACUGCAGGGGAGACUGGAAUUCCUGGUGUAGCGGUGGAAUGCGCAGAUAUCAGGAGGAACACCGGUGGCGAAGGCGGGGUCUCUGGGCAGUAACUGACGCUGGAGGAGCGAAAGCGUGGGGAGCGAACAGG
rnacentral:rRNA from 1 species